GGGGAUUUAGCUCAGUGGGAGAGCACUUGCCUAGCGAGCGAGCGCAAGGCCCUGGGUUCGGUCCCCAGCUCCG
rnacentral:tRNA from 1 species